CCAAACUCAAAGAAAGCAGGAAGACGCUACAUAUGCGAAUGUUUACUUAUUGCUGAACUCAGGGCUGCAGGAAGUCAGCUCCUAAAAAGUAGUUACAUUACGCGUAGAUAUUUAUAAACCAACUGCAACUAGUGACCCAGGAUUCAAUUACAACAUCAUCCCUCAUAUUUCAGCAUAUGGGCAAAUUACCAGUGGAGUCAGGAAUAAAUUCAUUCUGCCCUACUGGCGCUUUAGAUCGGGUUGCACAAUCCCGGGGCAAAACUGCCUUCGCCUAGCCCUAAAAGCAUCAGGUACUAAAUACUGUAGUAAGUUAGCGUCAGGACGUUUUAAAGCGAGACGGAAACUCAAGAGUUGCCUGAACCAAUUUAGCCAGCCCAUAAUCCCGAAUUCAGGAAUUUGUCACGUCACUUGAGAUCACAAUGAAAUUAAGUUUUGAUCCCUUUGAGAUCUCUUAGCGCACAAAGUCAGGCUCCUAUCACUGCAAGGGGAAUCCGACCCUGGCUCGAGAAAAACUUGUGGAACUCGUGUCCUUUCCGCCCACCGUGGGGGGGCCGCACCGGUCAGGUCGGGCGAGGAGCCCGGGCGCUAGUUUGGGGGCGCAGCGGGGCCCGGCGGGGGCGGCGAGCGCGCGUCCCCCCGCCCGUUCAGGCGGCGUCGAGGCGCGAGCAGCUCAGCCAGCCUUGCAGAGGGAGCUCUCGGCAGCUCUGGGGUCCCUCUACUCGCAGCCGCAGCAGCGCCGCCUGCGCCACUCGGUGGAGACGGAGACUAGCGGCGGCGACGCGCGGACUGGGAGCGACCGCGGAGCAGCCGGGCGGCGGGGGACGCUCGCAAGGCCGCAGGGAAAUGGUGAUGUGUCCUACUUCAUGAAAUUGGCCCCAAAGACCAAGGAACGUAAAGCCAAACCAACAGGCUAGGCGGUUUCAUACUGGACAGAAACAAGCUUUGAAUACAUGAGGAAGAAGAGUGGGAGACUGGAGGAAAGGUAAGGUUGGAAGAGGGCAAAAGGAAAGGAGGGUAGUCGGGGGAGCCUCCAGGGACCACCAACACAAUAAAUUGUAUCCUGGACUACCUCAGCCUGGUCCCUUUUUUUGCAGUGCAUGCUUAUUAGUUUCUUCCAGGGAGACCCCCAACGAUGGUGGCCAAGGCAUGGCUGUGGCCUUGAUAGACCUGAUUGAUGGGGUGCUUCUCAAGUGUGUCACAGAACUUGGAGGCCCACUUCCUUCUGUCCCCUCAAGAGGCUGGCACAGGCUCCACAGGACAGCUGGGGACAGGCUUUCCCUGCUCUGGUGCAUUUGACUCCCGAUGGUGUCAUCAACCUCCCAUCACUGGAGGCAGCAGGCUCUCAACUGUCCAGAGUCGCGGGAGUGAGUACCUCCCCAAACCUGUGUGACAGCAAGGUAGGAGGAGGUGUGCUGGGAGCAGCUUUGCCCUGUGGGAAGACCUAUGUGAGGCUAUGUGUAUUGGGGGAGGGCAGGGUGUACAGGAGGGAGGACAAGGGCUCUCCCUGCCCCACACCAUCUCACAGACAUGGGCCUGAGCCAGGGUAUAGGAGGCCAUCCAGCCUGACUUCAAGCCACUGAUGGAGAGGGGUUGAGUGGCUGUUCUGGGGUUGGUUCACACUGCUCUGAGCUGGGUAGGGUUAGUGGGGCAAAGACCCGAGGCUCUUUUUGUCUUGGCCUUGAUGGUCCUUCGGCUGUACCUCACAGUGCCCUAAUUCUAGCUCCUGCCCACUCUGACCUUCAUAUCCACCCUCACCUAGAGCUGAAUACGAGGCUUGGGAUUCAGGACUCUCCUUGUAGAGGACAGAGUUAGGUACCUUAUCCCUUCCCAGAAUUGGAAUGCAGAGAUGUAGAGUCACUCAGAUUUCCAAUGACAGUCCCAGCUGACCCCUGGCUGGGAUAUUUUCCCACCCUACAUUUCUUGCCCAGGCCCUGUCUUCUACUGUGGGUUAAGCCAUGAGCUUGUGCUAGUCCAGUCACCCCCGCCUGCACUUUCGCAGGACCUGGUCAGCCAGUGUUCACUUCCUCUUUCCCCGCCACACAGGCCACGCUUUGGAUGUCAGUGGACAGUCCUGCCCUACUAGGGGACCUCCCGUGGGGCCUCAGGCCUGAGGGGCUCCUAGGGGUGGUCCUGGCACUGCAACCCUGCUGCAGGGGCCCCUGCGGCAGGCCCAGGCUGUGGCCAGCUUUGGGUGCUGGCUUGGUCUCUAUCGUUUGUUUGCCUUCCCCUCCCCUACCACUCCAGCCGACCACCGCAAAACUGAGCUACACUAUCCCUCCCAAGCCACCCGUCAUGGUCACAGAGGGAGCACAGCGCUGUGCCGAUGCGCUGAGGGCUGUCAGCUCACCCCCACCCAACUGGAAUGAGCCACCUGCAUCCACACACAGGUGUUUCCUGUGCUCCUUCCUGUUACCGUUUUUUUUUUCUGCUCGGCUUCCCCAGCAGGUGGUUAAGGGCCCGGCCAAACCUCUUCAUACACAGCUCUAAAACACAGGGGGGCAGGGCUCGGCUCUCUGGGGAUCUGGGUCACCCCCCAGGGGGGACUGUUGGCAUCUCAUUGGCUCUACCUGAGUGCAGGGACACAGACUCCCCCCAGGGUGUCACGCUGCUGUGCUACAGCCACAGGUACUGGGACGCCAGAGUGGGCUCAGGGAGUGGGGAAGGCCCUGCCCUUGCAUGGUCUCCAUUGAAAGCUCUGGAGGGAGAGGGGAAGGGUGGAAGACCUGUUUCUCCAGCCUUGAGUGUGGGCCUCCCUCGGGCCCUCCUUAGAACAGGCCUGCCAUGCUGAAGUCCCCCCCUACCCUCAGGCUCCUCCCAUUGAACACUUAACUUUCCGGGGUUAAUAAACUCACGUGAGCCCUCUCCCUGGAGCCCUCUUUCCUGAAGCAGCACAAGUCUGCCAGCUGUGGGGGAGGUCACAGGGUUUAGUCAGGUUUGUUAUUACGGAGAGGAGGUGGCUCAGGGAGAGGCGGGACUUUCUGAUUAGAGUCACAGGGCAGCCAUCCGGGUCUCCUGCCUCCCAGGCCCGGGCUUUCCCCCUCUGCAAGCGUCUCCUUUCAACCACCCAGUGCUCAAGGAGCUCCUAGUGCUCAAGGAGCUCCUCGUGCUCAGCCCCUUCUGCAGGAAGCUGCCCGGGCUGAGGCGAAGACCCAGAAGCCUGGCGUUCCCUGACGGGGUUCUGCUGCUCCCUGGUGGCCAGAAGCUCCAGCCACCACCACACCUCUUCCUGCCUGCUUCCUCUUUGCCUCCUGGCCAAGUGAGCUGGCUGCUAGGGAGCCAUUCCCAGGACUGGCACCCUUUGGGCCUUCUCUAGGCCAACUCCACGGUUUGGCUCCA